rnacentral:rRNA from 1 species
UACAGAGGCCACAAGCGUUAGGCGGAAUCACUGGGCUUAAAGCGUGUGUAGGCGGGAUGGUAAGUACCUUGUGAAAUCCCACGGCUUAACCGUGGAAAUGCUUGGUAUACUGCCGUUCUUGAGUCAUCUAGGGGCAGCCGGAACUGAUGGUGGAGCGGUGAAAUGCAUAGAUAUCAUCAGGAACGCCAAUGGUGCAGACAGGUUGCUGGGGAUGUACUGACGCUGAGGCACGAAAGCCAGGGGAGCAAACGGG